rnacentral:tRNA from 1 species
UGCGGCGUAGGGCAGAGGCAGCCCGCCUGGUUCAUGCCCAGGAUGUCGCCGGUUCGAGUCCGGCCGCCGCUACCA